rnacentral:rRNA from 1 species
UUGAACGCUGGCGGCAGGCCUAACCCCUGCAAGUCGCGCGGAUGAAGGGAGCUUGCUCCUGGAUUCAGCGGCGGACGGGUGAGUAAUGCCUAGGAAUCUGCCUGGUAGUGGGGGAUAACGUCCGGAAACGGGCGCUAAUACCGCAUACGUCCUGAGGGAGAAAGUGGGGGAUCUUCGGACCUCACGCUAUCAGAUGAGCCUAGGUCGGAUUAGCUAGUCGGUGGGGUAAAGGCCUACCAAGGCGACGAUCCGUAACUGGUCUGAGAGGAUGAUCAGUCACACUGGAACUGAGACACGGUCCAGACUCCUACGGGAGGCGGCAGUGGGGAAUAUUGGACAAUGGGCGAAAGCCUGAUCCAGCCAUGCCGCGUGUGUGAAGAAGGUCUUCGGAUUGUAAAGCACUUUAAGUUGGGAGGAAGGGCAGUAAGUUAAUACCUUGCUGUUUUGACGUUACCAACAGAAUAAGCACCGGCUAACUUCGUG